rnacentral:pre_miRNA from 1 species
UUUUUAGUGUAAGUAUAUCUCAUGCAAUGUUUGAGGCAUGCUUACACUAAAA